GGUAAAUGCUGAAUGAUCCAAUAGUUCCAGACAGGAAGUCCAGGAGCCUUUGACUACGCCCUGGCAGGUAUAGAGAAGUCCAGGAGCCUUUGACUACGCCCUGGCAGGUAUAUAGUAAAGGCCAGGAGCCUUUGACUACGCCCUGGCAAUGGUAAGUACAGAGGUGUUAUAUACACAUAUACAUAUAUCACAGGAAGACCAGGUGCUCGAUUCUACUCCCUGGCACAGAGUUACUGGGACUAUGUGGUGACAGGUUUAUCUUUGAUGUGGAUUGUUUGUGUUAUGACGCAUUCCAUGAGAUCAUAUUUUACUGAGAUGUUUUACUGUUCUACUCACUGGGCGAUAGAGCUCAUCCCACUCCCUUAACCCCAGUUUUGCAGGUUCAGUGUACAGGGACAGUCCAGCAGAGUACAGAAAGAGUAAAGAGAAAUGGAAUAGUAUAGAGUGGACAUGUAACUUUUAAAGAGAUGUAAUAGUUGUGUAUAAAGUUAGAGUUGUGCUUGACUUAGUUGUAAAAGCUUUUGUUACGUACCUGAUCUGUAUAUAUAUAUAUGUUUUAUUACCAGGCUUAACAGAUAUGAACCCAUCUAGAGAAAGCUCUAGUCAGGGGUACAGCGUACAGAGUACAGAGUACAGAGUACAGAGUACAGAGAUAGUGCAUGCACAGGUUAAGACUUGGUACAGAGAAAAGAGUUUUUAUUUUUACAGAUAUGUAUGAUCAUGUAAGAGUUUUACAGGUACACAGAGAGUAUAGCAGGCUUGCUACGGGUUCUGGCGGCCUUAAGCCGACCCGAAUCCUAGCGCCGGUGACGGUCCAUUUUGGGGUCGUUACAAAUUGGUAUCAGAGCCCUAGGUUCACAUGAUCGGACCUAUAGAGACAGUGUUGGGCUCAUAGACGGUAGAAGUGGUCAAGCACAGUAGGAAAUCAUGUCCACUAGGAUAGGGUUUUGAGUCCUAUCUAUGAUAUGCCAUGAGGUAUGCAUGUGCUUUAUUGCUAUGUGUUGUUUAUGUGCUAAAGUGUUAUGUUGUGUGUUGUUUUCCAGAGAGUAAAGAUGAGAGGAACUCAUCGAUCAGCUCGAUUGACUGGAGUCCCACCAGAGAGUGAGAGACCAGCUGCUCAUCCACCUACAUUGCCGAGGGCAAGGUCUCAGAGAUCUAGCAGGGAAGGUACGUCAAUAGACCCUAGAAGGUCUGUAGACGAGAGCAGAAGGGGAACAGCUAGGGGAGAAAGAUCAGAGGAAAGGAGGGAAGCAAUGGAGAUUGAUCAGUCUAGAGAUGACAGCUUGGGUAUAGGCAGAUUUGAGGAAGGUAUGGGAGAAUCGCAGGGAGGUGCUCAGACCUCAGGUUUUGGCUAUCCAGAGUAUCCGAUGGGACGUAUGUCGGAGUACUCUAGUUUUGUGCCAUAUCCUCCUUACAUGCCCUAUAUGCCUUAUCCGUACUAUCCACCAUAUCCUAUGUAUCCAUCUUCCCCUACCCAUCCAAGUGCAGCACACCCAGAGCCAAAUGAACCAGUACCACCACCAGAACCAGUAGCCCCUGUUGAUAGACAUCAACCUAGCUCCUCAGGAGAUAAAGUGCAAAUGACGGAGUACUUGAAAUUGGAUGCUCCUAAAUAUAACACGGGAGAUGAUCCAUUUGAUUACCUCAGAGCAGUUAGGAUGAUCACCAGUGAAUUGGGAGCAGAUGAUAGGAGAGCCAUUGAGAUGGCAGGUUUCACAUUAAAAUGCAAGAAAGCCAGAGAAUGGUUUAAGAAUUAUAUGGAACCCAGAAUGGACAGCAUGUCAUGGGGAGAGUUCACCAAUGAGUUUGCAGGGUGGGCUUUUCCUGACAGUUCUCGGGAGAUGAAAGUGAUAGAGUUCGAACAGUUGAGACAGACAGAUGAGAUGAGUGUUGAUGAAUUCAUAGAUAAGUUCCUGGAUUUGCUUCAGUAUGUGGGUCAAGCCUAUGAUACUGAUCAGAAGAAGGCAAGGAGAUAUACUAUGAGAUUGCAUCCCAGGUAUUCUUCCUUGAUUCUUCCAGCAGAAAAGGAGAGUUUCCACACCAUAGUGGACGCAGCCAGGAAAAUGGAAGCUAGUGCCAAUAUUCAGAAAUAGUCAAAGGCACAGGCUUCGAGUUCUAAAGCCCCCAGUGCAGGCACGUCAGGCAGCAAGAGAUGGGACAGAGCAAAAGGAACAAAGAGUAAGUUCUGGAGUAAAGUGAAGUCAGGUCUGGGAAUAGGUAGUGGCUUAAGCUCUGGCACAGCUCCAGUCUGCAGAAGAUGCGGAAAACCACAUGGAGGAGUUUGUCGGUUGGGAUCUACAGCUUGUUUUAGAUGUGGAAAGGAAGGGCAUAUUGCUCGGGAUUGUCCGCAGGUGACUUUUGCACCAUCCCAGCAGAUGAGUUCAGGCAGUGUGGUACAGCCAGUUGGUCAGCCAGCAGCUCCAGUCAUGCCUCAGAGUAGUGGCAGAGGUAGAGGGAGAGGGGCAGCCUCUACUUCAGCAGCAGGUUCUCGAGGUGGAAAUCCGGUAGCCCCAGCACGGAUUUUCACUGUGACACAGGAGGAGGCGAACACAGUGGUGUCAGGUAAUCUCAUCAUUGGGUGUUCAGAUGUGUAUGCUUUGAUGGACCCCGGUGCUUCUCAUUCCUUUAUUGCUUCGAGAGCCAUAGAGAGAUUGGGGUUGAUCAGUUCUGAGUUAGAGUAUCCUCUCUGGGUCAGUGGACCUAAGUGCGACCCAUCAGUGGCAGUGUCAGUCUGUCGUUUCAGUCCAGUGUUUAUAGAGGGUAGAUACCUUCCAGCUGACCUUGUGGUUCUAGAUUUGACGGAUUUUGAUGUCAUUCUAGGGAUGGAUUGGUUAUCUACAUAUAGUGCUACGUUGGACUGUAGAGAGAAGAUAGUGAGUCUCAGAGACCAGGAUGGGUCAGAGUGUGUCUUCAGAGGAGACAGGAGAGGUACACCCAGAGGUAUGAUUUCAGCCCUUCAGGCUCGUCGUUU
rnacentral:lncRNA from 1 species